rnacentral:lncRNA from 1 species
GUUUAGUAAUUAUCAAAAAUAUUUAAUAUAUUUAUAUUGUUUUAACUACUUGUAUAAUAAUAAUAACUGUCAUGAUAACUACAAAAAUGUCUUUUCAACUUAGAGGGAAUUAAAAAAAUUAAAAUCUAUGUAAGUAUUUUUGUUCGAGAGAUAUGAUAAGGUGAUCAGUAAAAGCCUGUUGAGCACGAACACUUCUACAUUAGAAAAUUUAUAUUGGGUAAAAUUCUAGGGGAAGUGGAAAAAAAGUUCAGGAUGUAAAAAGGAACAAUGCUACUUUUCUGAUUGCUAAAGAAGGCUGAUUCAGGUAUUUUUAAAAACUGUGUGCUAAUCUCAAAAUUGCUAAUAUGAGAUCAUACUAUACUAGUUAUUUAUAACAAUAUUUUUCCUUAUGUAGUGAUUUUUAAAAAGUUGCUUAUGUUCUGAGCAUUCAUAUUCUGGCUCUGCCACUCACUAAUGAUGAGUGCUUGGGCAUGUCACUUAAUUUUUCAGGGCCUUGGUUGUUCCCUCUAUAAAAUGAGAAAGUUGAACUAGAUCAUUUGCAGGUGACCUUAUAUCUCUAAUACUCUAUACCUCUGUGACUAAAGACUCAGAAAUAUUCCUUUAGAUGACUGAAAACAGUAUCUAAAAAUGCAUUUCUUUUCUUUUUCCUUCCUCUCAUUUUCCUUCUUCCCUCCCUCUUGUCCUUCCUUCCUCCCAAUAUCACUAGGGCCCUGUGCCAUGGCAAAGAUUGUAUUUUUUGAGGGAUUUGCUGAAAUCGGUCUCAUUAAUUAUCAAUUAAUUACAGUAAUUCAAUGGCUUCCCUUAACCAAAAAUAAUCAAACUAUUCAUGACAUCAUUUUCCCUAGUACUUGAAAUCUGAAAAGUAUACAAUGAAGAUAAUAUUUUCUAAAAUAAAAAGAUCAUAUUGCAUGAUCCUAUUUCCUCCUUCUAAGUUAGAAUCUUAAAAUAGCUCAUCAGAAAUAAAGCUCUUUGGAACAGAUAGAUUCACUGGAAAGUCUGCAAUUGUUGAAGAACAUGUAUGUGAGGUCCACUAGCACUGUCUUAUUCUGUUUUGAAAACAAGGCAAGAUGUAAUUUACAAACAGUGCCAUUUUGGUUUUAAAUAGUUCUGUUCUGGUAAUGGAAUGUUGUGGUUUUUCAUAUUUCGUAUGUAAUGAGCAGUGAGAAAAGGUCUUGAAAUCUUAGUGCUGGGCUUUUCUUUCUUGCUCCACUUCCAGGUAGUCAGAUGCAUCCAUGUUGACUUGUGGAGACUGAGACUGUUAGAUCAGGGAU